UACGAAGGGGGCAAGCGUUGUUCGGAAUUACUGGGCGUAAAGGGCGCGCAGGCGGCCAAUCAAGUCAGAUGUGAAAGCCCCGGGCUCAACCUGGGAAUAGCAUUUGAGACUGGUUGGCUAGAGAUCGGGAGAGGAGAGUGGAAUUCCCAGUGUAGAGGUGAAAUUCGUAGAUAUUGGGAAGAACACCGGUGGCGAAGGCGGCUCUCUGGACCGAUACUGACGCUGAGGCGCGAAAGCUAGGGUAGCGAACGGG
rnacentral:rRNA from 1 species